GACGAACGCUUGCGGCGUGCUUAACACAUGCAAGUCGAACGGAAAGGCCCUGCUUUUGUGGGGUGCUCGAGUGGCGAACGGGUGAGUAACACGUGAGUAACCUGCCCUUGACUUUUGGAUAACUUCAGGAAACUGGGGCUAAUACCGGAUAGGAGCUCCUGCUGCAUGGUGGGGGUUGGAAAGUUUCGGCGGUUGGGGAUGGACUCGCGGCUUAUCAGCUUGUUGGUGGGGUAGUGGCUUACCAAGGCUUUGACGGGUAGCCGGCCUGAGAGGGUGACCGGCCACAUUGGGACUGAGAUACGGCCCAGACUCCUACGGGAGGCAGCAGUGGGGAAUAUUGCACAAUGGGCGGAAGCCUGAUGCAGCAACGCCGCGUGCGGGAUGACGGCCUUCGGGUUGUAAACCGCUUUCGCCUGUGACGAAGCGUGAGUGACGGUAAUGGGUAAAGAAGCACCGGCUAACUACGUG
rnacentral:rRNA from 1 species